rnacentral:lncRNA from 1 species
GAGAGAGAGAGAGACCCUUUUUGUGCCCUAGCAGAGAGAGAGAGGAUUCGAGGAGGGAGCAGUCCUUUCCCAGUGCCCGAGCUCAAAGAAGCGAGAGAGAGAGUUCAGAUGUGAGAGAAAGAGACGCGGCCCGACUUAAACCCCAAACCCUAAAAACUGGAAGAAGGCCAGGGACUCCGAUCAACUUCCACUGGAUUAUCAAAUGAUUUACAGCUCCCACAGGAGCACAAUGUUUAUUUACUCCCAGUGCCCUAAACCCCAAACCCUAAAAACUGGAAAUAUGCCAAGGACUCGGAUCAACUUCCACUGGGUUAUCAAAUGAUUUUUCAGGCCCAAUGGUUAUUUACUCCCUCAGGCAAACCUUGAUCAAGUAAGACCAUUUUUGGG